GUACUUAGGGUCAAAAGGUAACUGGCCCAGUUCUAUCUCGAGAUUUGCCGUGUGUCUUCCAUUAGCGCGACCGUAUUUAUACCAUUUACCUUCCCUUUUACAAGGCUGUGGAUGAAGGUGCUUCUGCUCUUGUUUUCGGUGCCUGGAGUUUUCAAUAUUUACCAUACGUUGCUUUUUAUCAGGUCGACUGGGUCCGAAUGGAAGGGCGAAAACGUGCCCAAAGUGUCUAUAUAUACAUCCGUCCAACUUCUCCAAAUUGUCAUCCUCUACUUGAUACUCCUUUAUGCUCUUAAGGUAACCUUUCACAUCAUCAACAAAGUCGGCGAAGGGCUUCUGGUCAUGUCUAAAGACACCGUUCAGGAAAAACGGACUGAUGAACUGAUCCAGUUCUUUCCAGUGGUGAAAAGUAUCCAGUUCAUUCAGUAAAUACCAGUGAAUCAGCUGUUUAAAGUCAUUCAUCCUAACAGGACCCGCUUGAUUAACAGGGCUAAUGGAUUCCUGUCCAGCACAUUCAAACAUACCUGAACAAACCUUUCUGGUGGAAUGGGUGCCUCUGCAGUCAAACUUGGCCUUGUAUGUAUAUGAAUUUGUAGUUUGUCUAAUUUCUUCAGAAUGACUGGGCUUUUCUCUCCCUCUGUCCCUCUGUGCGGAAG
rnacentral:lncRNA from 1 species